rnacentral:rRNA from 1 species
GGAGUUUGGACCGUGUCUCAGUUCCAAUGUGGGGGACCUUCCUCUCAGAACCCCUACCGAUCGUUGCCUUGGUGGGCCGUUACCCCGCCAACAUAGCUAAUCGGACGCAUCCCCAUCCACCACCGAUGAAUCUUUACUCCUCGUCAGAUGUCCGCAAAGGAGACCAUCAGGGAUUAAUCCAGUUUUCACUGGGCUAUACCCGAGUGGCGGGCAGGUUGGAUACGCGUUACUCACCCGUGCGCCGGUCGCCAUCAGGGAUUGCAAGCAACCCCCAUGCUGCCCCUCGACUUGCAUGUGUUAAGCCUGUAGCUAGCGUUCAUC